rnacentral:rRNA from 1 species
AAGUCUGGCACUGAUGACCUCUCUACCUUUGUGACUAUUAUACCUGUUGCUUCGGCGGCGCCCGCGAGGGUGCCCGCCGGUCUCAUCAGAAUCUCUGUUUUCGAACCCGACGAUACUUCUGAGUGUUCUUAGCGAACUGUCAAAACUUUUAACAACGGAUCUCUUGGCUCCAGCAUCGAUGAAGAACGCAGCGAAACGCGAUAUGUAAUGUGAAUUGCAGAAUUCAGUGAAUCAUCGAAUCUUUGAACGCACAUGGCGCCUUCCAGUAUCCUGGGAGGCAUGCCUGUCCGAGCGUCGUUUCAACCCUCGAGCCCCCGUGGCCCGGCGUUGGGGAUCUGCCACGGCAGGCCCCUAAAACCAGUGGCGGACCCGAAGGCCCUCUCCUUUGCGCAGUAGCAUCAGCCUCGCAUUGGGAUCCCUCGGCGUCCUGCCUCUAAACCCCCCACAAGUCCGCUCCGGCGGCACCAAGGUUGACCUCGGAUCAGGUAGGAAUACCCGCUGAACUUAAGCAUAUCAAUAGGCGGAGGAA